rnacentral:rRNA from 1 species
GGCCUAACACACGCACGUCGAGCGGUAGCACAGGAGAGCUUGCUCUCUGGGUGACGAGCGGCGGACGGGUGAGUAAUGUCUGGGAAACUGCCUGAUGGAGGGGGAUAACUACUGGAAACGGUAGCUAAUACCGCAUAACGUCUUCGGACCAAAGAGGGGGACCUUAGGGCCUCUCGCCAUCGGAUGUGCCCAGAUGGGAUUAGCUAGUAGGUGAGGUAAUGGCUCACCUAGGCGACGAUCCCUAGCUGGUCUGAGAGGAUGACCAGCCACACUGGAACUGAGACACGGUCCAGACUCCUACGGGAGGCAGCAGUGGGGAAUAUUGCACAAUGGGCGCAAGCCUGAUGCAGCCACGCCGCGUGUGUGAAGAAGGCCUUCGGGUUGUAAAGCGC